GCAAACUUGGUCAUUUAGAGGAAGUAAAAGUCGUAACAAGGUAACCGUAGGUGAACCUGCGGUUGGAUCAUUACAAAAUCUUAAAAAAAGUUGGGAGGAGGUCAAAUCAUUGUUGGGCUUUGCUUUUCAACGGGCGAGCCUCGCAAUGUGUUUCCUUCACCCGGCGACACCAUCUGUGAACUGUUUUUCUUAUAAUUUUGUGAUGAGGGAAAGAACCAAUUCUAAAGCAUGGUUUGCUUUGGUUGUUGGGACUUUCCCUUCGUUACAAAAUAUAUUAUUCCCACUUAAAAGGAGUUUCUUUUUGGGUGGGGAUAAAAAGACAAACUUUAUAACCCAAAAUCCUUAAGUCUCAAAAAAACAAUUUUCAUAAAAUGAAAAAACAACUUUUGACAACGGAUCUCUUGGCUCUCGCAUCGAUGAAGAACGCAGC
rnacentral:misc_RNA from 1 species